GACGAACGCUGGCGGCGUGCCUAAUACAUGCAAGUAGAACGCUGAAGGAGGAGCUUGCUUCUCCGGAUGAGUUGCGAACGGGUGAGUAACGCGUAGGUAACCUGCCUGGUAGCGGGGGAUAACUAUUGGAAACGAUAGCUAAUACCGCAUAAGAGUAGAUGUUGCAUGACAUUUGCUUAAAAGGUGCAAUUGCAUCACUACCAGAUGGACCUGCGUUGUAUUAGCUAGUUGGUGGGGUAACGGCUUACCAAGGCGACGAUACAUAGCCGACCUGAGAGGGUGAUCGGCCACACUGGGACUGAGACACGGCCCAGACUCCUACGGGAGGCAGCAGUAGGGAAUCUUCGGCAAUGGACGGAAGUCUGACCGAGCAACGCCGCGUGAGUGAAGAAGGUUUUCGGAUCGUAAAGCUCUGUUGUAAGAGAAGAACGAGUGUGAGAGUGGAAAGUUCACACUGUGACGGUAGCUUACCAGAAAGGGACGGCUAACUACGUG
rnacentral:rRNA from 1 species